rnacentral:misc_RNA from 1 species
AAAGUCGUAACAAGGUCUCCGUUGGUGAACCAGCGGAGGGAUCAUUACCGAGUCUUGAACUCCCAAACCUUUGUGAACCUUACCAUCGUUGCUUCGGCGGGACUCGCCCCGGGGCCGGCCUCCCAGUGGGGCCGCGACCCGGACCAAGGCGCCCGCCGGGGGACCCAAACUCUUUGUCUUCAUGGUGUAUGCUCUGAGUGACACACAAAUAAGCAAUCAAAACUUUCAGCAACGGAUCUCUUGGUUCUG